AGAGUUUGAUCCUGGCUCAGGAUGAACGCUAGCGAUAGGCCUAACACAUGCAAGUCGAGGGGCAGCAUAGAGUAGCAAUACUUUGAUGGCGACCGGCGCACGGGUGAGUAACACGUAUGCAACCUACCUACAUCAGGGGAAUAACCCGGAGAAAUUCGGACUAAUACCGCAUAAUACAGGGAUGCCGCAUGGCAAUAUUUGUUAAAGAUUUAUCGGAUGUAGAUGGGCAUGCGUUCCAUUAGCUAGUUGGUAAGGUAACGGCUUACCAAGGCAACGAUGGAUAGGGGAACUGAGAGGUUUGUCCCCCACACUGGAACUGAGACACGGACCAGACUCCUACGGGAGGCAGCAGUGAGGAAUAUUGGUCAAUGGACGAGAGUCUGAACCAGCCAAAUCGCGUGAAGGAAGACUGCCCUACGGGUUGUAAACUUCUUUUGUACAGGAAUAAAAGACAUUACGUGUAAUGUAUUGCAUGUACUGUACGAAUAAGCAUCGGCUAACUCCGUGCCAGCAGCCGCGGUAAUACGGAGGAUGCGAGCGUUAUCCGGAUUUAUUGGGUUUAAAGGGUGCGCAGGCGGGAUUUUAAGUCAGCGGUGAAAUUUUCAGGCUCAACCUGAACACUGCCGUUGAAACUGGGAUUCUUGAGUAUGGAUGAAGUAGGCGGAAUUCGUUGUGUAGCGGUGACAUGCUUAGAUAUAACGAGGAACUCCGAUUGCGUAGGCAGCUUACUAAGCCAUAACUGACGCUCAAGCACGAAAGCGUGGGGAUCAAACAGGAUUAGAUACCCUGGUAGUCCACGCCGUAAACGAUGAUUACUAGUUGUUUGCGAUAUACCGUAAGUGACUAAGCGAAAGCGAUAAGUAAUCCACCUGGGGAGUACGCCGGCAACGGUGAAACUCAAACGAAUUGACGG
rnacentral:rRNA from 1 species